UACGGAGGGGGCUAGCGUUGUUCGGAAUUACUGGGCGUAAAGCGCACGUAGGCGGCUUUGUAAGUUAGAGGUGAAAGCCCGGAGCUCAACUCCGGAACUGCCUUUAAGACUGCAUCGCUUGAACGUCGGAGAGGUAAGUGGAAUUCCGAGUGUAGAGGUGAAAUUCGUAGAUAUUCGGAAGAACACCAGUGGCGAAGGCGACUUACUGGACGACUGUUGACGCUGAGGUGCGAAAGCGUGGGGAGCAAACCGG
rnacentral:rRNA from 1 species